CUCAGGCAGGGGAUGGUUGGGCACCUCUGCUGCUCUCAGUCCUGUACAGGCUUGGGACUGUGGGCUCUGCAGGGCCAUCACAGCCUCUGCAGCCCCAUCCAUCACUUUAUUGAUCACAUGGAGAUAGAUUCCCUUUAAAACUUCUCUUUUGCUGGUAGAUUUACUUUGCACCGAGACUUAAGUGUGAGUUAAUAUUCUUUUUGAGGGGAGAUAAAGGGCAGUGGAGAUCCUAGCCUAAAGAAUGUAGCCUGUGAAUUUUAUCCCUGCACUGCACAUACAUUUUGAUGGUCUUUGCUGUGUGUUUUAUUGAGGCUGAGUCAUAAGCAAAUCUUAGUGCUUUGGAAGGAAGGAAAUGGAGUUUGGGCAAGAACACGACACGUCACAAAUGGAUCCAGCAAAGGCACUGCUCAAGCUGUGAGAGCACAGUGACGUAUCUCAGCAAAAGGAGAACUGAAGGUCAAGAGUCCCUGUGCUGCAUUACAGUUUUCAUCACCUGAAGCCUGUCUGGACUCGGUGAUGUUUGAGAUGAGCCAAUCCUGCUCAUGUGCCUUCCCUCAGAAACAGUCCCAUAGUUAACAGGCACUGUUUCUGUCUUGUAUUUCAGUCCUGGGAUGGUGAACAUCUGCCCAAGGCUUGGGGCUGAAACAGUUGCUGGGGCUGGGUCAAGGCACAGAAUUUUUGACUGAGGUUGUUGAGGAAGGAGAGUGGAGCUCUUGUGCCAUGGAGGCAGGAGGUUUCCUUGGCAGCUGCCCUUAGGAAUGCUGCCUUUGCCUGGGGAGGAGAGGGGAGCCACACCAGCUGGCUGGGCAGCUUGGGAGAAGGUUUCCUGGGGAGACUCAGCCAUGGCUUGCAGCACAGCAUCCAGCCUGUCUCACGGAGAUCGGGGCACUGCAGAGGCGUGGGCAGAGCAGCCAGGCUCGGGGCUCCCCAGGGAUCCACUUGGACAGGCACAGCUGGCUGCAGCUCAAACGCCACUGACUCGCAGCCAAGCCUUCAGACAGGGUGAUGCCUAGCUUUGAGGUCAGAAGCCUUUUGAUCUUCUUCAUGGAGCUCACCAUGAGGGAGACACUUAGGUGUACCUAAUUCAAAGAUCUGCACCUUUCACCCCCUCUCCUUGGUGCAGGAUGCCGCUGCUGUCACACUUUGAGAGGCAAUGAAAGGCCAGAAACACACAUUUGUCAGGAUGCUUUUAUAGGAGCCACUGCCCUGCUGACAAGGGGCAGCCCAAGUGUGCUCCCUCCUGCCUCUUGGGCAGGACUUUGGGCCCUUCCUCUGCCUCCCUGGAGCUAUGGAAGGGCAGGUUGUCCUUGCUGCAGCCAGCUGGAAAACUGGAGAGUCUGAGGCCUGCAAUGAGACAGCAGCUCUUGAAGGGGCACUCAGUGCCACCAGAUACAGCCAGACCAGUGGGGCUAUGGAUUAAAUUAUCAUUAGCAAAGCUACCUAGCAAACACAGCUGCAGAAAUGUGGCCCUUUUCCUCCCCCUCCGUUUGGCCAGCUGAUGUUCCUCCUACAUGAUACAGAAGGAUUUUAUUUUACUCAGGUUCAGGCUGCAAAUCUGGCUGAUAUUGGAAGGGGCUUUGGGGGACAUUUGAUAUUUCUGAGGCCACGAGGGUCAUGUUCUUCCAGGCUCCUUCUGGUUUCUGCUCUUUCUUAGGAUUAAUAUUGCAGUAGGGAAGAAUAAAAGGCUCUUUCCAUCUCCAGGAUCUAAAAUGAAGGAACUGAGCAGACAGAAAAUGACAAAUUUCAUUUUAGAAAUAUUAAUGGUUGAAUUUAAUGAACUCUUGGCCUUAAGGAAUGAUAUCCAAGAGGUGCUACCCAGGCAG
rnacentral:lncRNA from 1 species